rnacentral:rRNA from 1 species
UAGAUGAAUGAAUGAAUGAAUAACACACUGAUAUAUCUGAGAUAAUGGAAAAACUUUAAUAAAGAGUUUACUUAUUACUUUAUAUCAUGCUCAUUAUACUAAUUAUAAUUGUUGAUUAUCCAACGUGGAUAACUGUGGAAAUUCUAAAGCUAAUACAUGCGCCAAGGCUCCGAAUUUUAGACGUGCGCAUCUAUUAGAUUAAAACACCAAUCAGGUUAUUAAUUAAUCCGUUAAUUGAUGACUGUGAAUAGUUAUGGCUGAUCGCAUGGUCUUAUACUGGCGGCGUAUCUAUCAAGUAUUUUCAGCGAUAGUUUAUGUGCCUACCGUGGUUGUAACGGGUUGCGGAGAAUAAGGGUUCGAUUCCGAAGAGAGAGCCUGAGAAACGGCUACCACAUCCAAGUAAGGCAGACACUUGAGAUAACGUAUCACUCUCAGAAUGAGGAGGUAGUGAUGAAAAAUAACGAGACCUUUCUCUUUGAAGCCGUUUAUCGGAAUGCUUACAAUUUAAACCUGUUAACGAAGAUCUAUGAGAGGGCAAAUUUGGUACCAGUAGCCGCGGUAAUUCCAGCUCUCAGAGUGUAUAUCGUCACUGCUGCGGUUGAAAAGCUCGUAGUUGGGUCUGCGUCUCAGGACCUGAUCCAUCCAUUGGAUGAGAACUAGGCUCCUAGGGUAAUAUUACCAGUUUUCUAUACGUUAUCUUGAUUCAGUACGGUAGUUGGCAAAUUUACCUUGAAAAAAGAGUGCUCAAUGCGGGCUAAUGCCUAUUCAUGCAUGAAAUAGGAUCUCGGUUCUAUUUUGUUGGUUUUCUGAUCUGAGAUAAUGGUUAAGAGGAACAGACGGAAAUUCGUAUCGCUGCGUGAGAGCUGAAAUUCUUGGACCGUAGCGAGACGUACGACUGCGAAAGCAUUUGCCAAGAAUGUCUUCAUUCAAGGACGAAAGUCAGAGACUCGAAGGCGAUCAGAUACCGCUCUAGUUCUGACCGUAAACGAUACCAACUUUCCGUCGGCGGUAAAUACGCCUUGACGGGAAACGAAAGUUUUUCGGUUGUUGGGGAAGCAUGGUUGCAAAGCUGAUGGACCCUACUUAAUACGAGAAGAUUCACCUGGCCCGGUGAGGAUUGUCAGAAUGAGAGCUCUUUCAUGAUUCGUGGUUGGUGGGUGCAUGGUCGUUCUAGGUUGGUGGAGUGAUUUGUCUGGUUUAUUCCGAUAACGAGGAGACUCUAGCUACUAAAUAGUUACUGGAUAAUUUUAUCGUCCAGACAACUUCUUAGAGGGACAAGCGGUGUUUAGCCGCAUGAAGUUGAGCAAUAACAGAUAACAGGUCUGUAUGCCCUUAGAUGUCCAGGGCUGCACGCGCGCUACACUGGAGGAAUCAGCGUGCUGUAACCAUUACCGAAAGGUAUUGGUAACCCCUUGAAAACCAUCCAAUUAUUUUCCUUGAACAGGAAUUUUUAGUGUAAGUCAUCAACUUACGUUGAUUACAUGCUUGGUACUGAGCUGUUUCGAGAAAAGUGGAGACUGUUGUUUCGAUACCUUUGAAGGGUAGAGACUCUUUGGUGGAAGCAGGCAAAAUCGUAACAAGCUUUCGUAGGUGAACCUGCGUAAGGAUCAUUA